rnacentral:rRNA from 1 species
UACGUAGGGUGCGAGCGUUGUCCGGAAUUAUUGGGCGUAAAGAGCUCGUAGGCGGUUUGUCGCGUCUAUCGUGAAAACUGGAGGCUUAACUUUCAGCGUGCGGUGGAUACGGGCAGACUUGAGUUCGGUAGGGGGAGACUGGAAUUCCUGGUGUAGCGGUGGAAUGCGCAGAUAUCAGGAGGAACACCGAGUGGCGAAGGCAGGUCUCUGGGCCAUUUACUGACACUGGAGAAGCGAAAGCAUGGGGAGCGAACAGGG